rnacentral:tRNA from 7 species
UGCCUCAUGCUGGAAUCGAACCAGCGACCUUCUGUUUACUAGACAGACGCUCUGCCCCUGAGCCAAUGAGGC